UACGUAGGUCGCAAGCGUUGUCCGGAUUUACUGGGCGUAAAGAGCGCGCAGGCGGCUGGUCAAGUCCGAUGUGAAAUCUCCCGGCUCAACUGGGAAACUGCAUCGGAAACUGAUCGGCUUGAAGAUGGGAGAGGGUAGUGGAAUUCCCGGUGUAGUGGUGAAAUGCGUAGUUAUCGGGAGGAACACCAGUGGCGAAGGCGACUACCUGGCCCAUUCUUGACGCUGAGGCGCGAAAGCUAGGGGAGCGAACGGG
rnacentral:rRNA from 1 species